GACGAACGCUGGCGGUGUGCUUAACACAUGCAAGUCGAACGGUAAGGCCCUUUCGGGGGUACACGAGUGGCGAACGGGUGAGUAACACGUGAGUAACCUGCCCUCAUCUCUGGGAUAACAGUCGGAAACGGUUGCUAAUACUGGAUAUGAGCUUGCAAGGCAUCUUGUGGGUUGGAAAGAUUUUUUUGGUUGGGGAUGGACUCGCGGCCUAUCAGCUUGUUGGUGAGGUAGUGGCUCACCAAGGCUUCGACGGGUAGCCGGCCUGAGAGGGCGGCCGGCCACAUUGGGACUGAGAUACGGCCCAAACUCCUACGGGAGGCAGCAGUGGGGAAUAUUGCACAAUGGACGGAAGUCUGAUGCAGCAACGCCGCGUGCGGGAUGACGGCCUUCGGGUUGUAAACCGCUUUCAAUUGUGACGAAGCUUUUUGUGACGGUAGCAGUAGAAGAAGCACCGGCUAACUACGUG
rnacentral:rRNA from 1 species